rnacentral:misc_RNA from 1 species
AAUGUCGUAACAAGGUUUCCGUAGGUGAACCUGCGGAAGGAUCAUUAUUGAAUUCCAAAUCUGGGUGAGAUUGCUGCUGGCCUCUCGGGCCAUGUGCACAUCUCAUUCAUUUACCUCUCACCCUCUGUGCACUUUUCCACAGGACAGCUGGUGGUUGUUAGGGCUUCAUUGUCUAUGGGCCUACAGGUUUGCUUUGUGUGCUUUGAUAAACUCAUAAUCAAGUUCAGAAUGUCUUUGUGUAUCCACACAUUUGAAAUUACAA